rnacentral:misc_RNA from 1 species
AACUUUCAGCAAUGGAUCACUUGGCUCUCGCAUCGAUGAAGAACGCAGCGAAAUGCGAUAAGUAAUGUGACUUGCAGAAUUCAGUGAAUCAUCGAAUCUUUGAACGCACCUUGCACCCUUUGGCAUUCCGAAGGGUAUGCUCGUUUGAGUGUCAUUGUACUCUCACACUCCCGAUGCUUUUGGAUUGGGAGUGGUGGACUUGGGUGUUGCUGCUUUACUGUGGCUCACCUCAAAUGGAGUAGUGCAACUCUUGGUUGGACAUAGUACGGCGUUAUAAGUGUCUUCGCCGGCGCCUCAUUAGAGGGUGGCCGAUCGGGAGCUCUGUGCUUCAAACCGUCUUCGGACAACAUCUGACAACUUGACCUCAAAUCGAGUAGGACUACCCGCUGAACUUAAGCAUAUCAAUAAGCGGAGGCU